rnacentral:lncRNA from 1 species
CUUGAUAGUAGCACGGACGCCUCCGUACUACCAAGUUGUUUUCAAUAAUGCCGCUUCCAAAUCAACGAUCGGCUCCGUUAGACUUGACCUACACUAUUGACAGUAUUUGAAAAUUAAAUUUCAUAAUUUUUCGGUAUUAUUUAACUAUCAAACGAGUAGUCUAAAAACGAACGACUGAAAAUAAAAAUCUCAUAAAAAAUGAUGAUAGAAGUCUUGAAUUUAAGAUCAUAGGUACUGAUUUUACUCUAAAUAAUAAAAAAAAUAUAUAUAAAAAUUUCAUCUGAUUUGGAUUGUUUUACACUAUUAAAUUUACAAGUGCAUCACAUCUACCAUUAAAACUGUCAAUUUUAAGACAUUUUGAUCACUAGCCAAAUGAUGUCGAAAAAUUUUAAAAUUUAGUUUUCAAAUACUUUUAAUAGUGUAAAUUAAGUCUAACGGAACUGAUCGUCGAUUUGGAAGCCGCAUCAUCGAAAGCAACUUUGUAGCAGGGAGGCCUCCAUGCUAUCGAUAGUAUAGCAACUGGACUAUAUAUAUAUAUAUAUAUGAAAAAUAAAAAAAAUAAAAAAAAGAAAAAAGACAU